rnacentral:rRNA from 1 species
GAGUUUGAUCCUGGCGUCAGGACGAACGCUGGCGGCGUGCUUAACACAUGCAAGUCGAACGAGGCAGCGGCCUUCGGGCCGUUGUCGAGUGGCGAACGGGUGAGUAACACGUGAGGAACCUGCCCCGGAGACCGGGAUAACCAGGGGAAACUCUGGCUAAUACCGGAUGCCCCCGGAUGGUCGCAUGGCCAACCGAGGAAACGCUCCGGUGCUCCGGGAGGGCCUCGCGGCCUAUCAGCUUGUUGGUGGGGUAACGGCCUACCAAGGCAUCGACGGGUAGCUGGUCUGAGAGGACGAUCAGCCACACUGGGACUGAGACACGGCCCAGACUCCUACGGGAGGCAGCAGUGGGGAAUAUUGCGCAAUGGGCGAAAGCCUGACGCAGCAACGCCGCGUGGGGGAUGAAGGCCUUCGGGUUGUAAACCCCUUUCAGCAGGGACGAAAAUGACGGUACCUGCAGAAGAAGCCCCGGCCAACUACGUGCCAGCAGCCGCGGUAACACGUAGGGGGCAAGCGUUGUCCGGAUUUAUUGGGCGUAAAGAGCUCGUAGGCGGUUGCGUAAGUCGGAUGUGAAAACUCAGGGCUCAACCCGGAGACGCCAUCCGAUACUGCGCUGACUAGAGUCCGGUAGAGGAGCAUGGAAUUCCUGGUGUAGCGGUGAAAUGCGCAGAUAUCAGGAGGAACACCAGUGGCGAAGGCGGUGCUCCUGGGCCGGCACUGACGCUGAGGA